GACGAACGCUGGCGGCGUGCUUAACACAUGCAAGUCGAACGGAAAGGCCCUGCUUUUGUGGGGUGCUCGAGUGGCGAACGGGUGAGUAUCACGUGAGUAACCUGCCCUUGACUUUGGGAUAACUUCAGGAAACUGGGGCUAAUACCGGAUAGGAGCUCCUGCUGCAUGGUGGGGGUUGGAAAGUUUCGGCGGUUUGGGAUGGACUCGCGGCUUAUCAGCUUGUUGGUGGGGUAGUGGCUUACCAAGGCGUUGACGGGUAGCCGGCCUGAGAGGGUGACCGGCCACAUUGGGACUGAGAUACGGCCCAGACUCCUACGGGAGGCAGCAGUGGGGAAUAUUGCACAAUGGGCGGAAGCCUGAUGCAGCAACGCCGCGUGCGGGAUGACGGCCUUCGGGUUGUAAACCGCUUUCGCCUGUGACGAAGCGUGAGUGACGGUAAUGGGUAAAGAAGCACCGGCUAACUACGUG
rnacentral:rRNA from 1 species